UACGUAGGGUGCAAGCGUUGUCCGGAAUUAUUGGGCGUAAAGAGCUCGUAGGCGGUGUGUCACGUCGGCCGUGAAAACCUGCAGCUUAACUGUGGGCGUGCGGUCGAUACGGGCAUCACUGGAGUUCGGCAGGGGAGACUGGAAUUCCUGGUGUAGCGGUGAAAUGCGCAGAUAUCAGGAGGAACACCGGUGGCGAAGGCGGUUCUCUGGGCCUUACCUGACGCUGAGGAGCGAAAGCGUGGGGAGCGAACAGG
rnacentral:rRNA from 1 species